CGGGGACGGCCAUAGCUGAAGAAGUAAGGAAAGGCUCAAAACUUUUCACAGCUCAAUAUCCCAGCUCAUUUCACCUAGAGUCUCAAACUAAUUUGUGGACUUGCGAGAUAAAGCCUGGUUCAGAGCCACCAUUGUCACAAGUCCCACAAACUCAGCCUCAAAGCAGAGGAAAAGGGCCUUGGUGGAGUACAAGAGCUUGGUCACCGAAGACGGCUCGCGGCAGCUCAAAGAGUACGUUAAUUCGGCUUACUUGAGGCCUGUACCGCCUCCAUUGGGUGACCAAAACUCCAAAACUUUGAGGAGGGUGAUGUGGUCGAUGCGGAUUAUAAGAUGGAUGGUGGACUGGAGUUGUAAGAAAGGUUCUUGACAACAAUUCCAAGUACAGAGUGGUGUUUGAAAACUCUCCAGAUUUGAUUGAAUUUGAGAGAGAGCGUUUCAGAGCAUCAAGAUUGGGAUGCUGGCAAAUGGGUUCGGCCCAAUAAGCAGUUUGGUGCUUCCAUUAACAAAACCCAGAAGUUUUGAUUUUCCAGAAAUUAUUCGAAUCCCUGGCUGAAAUUAGUGGGUAAAAUCUGUUCAGUUUCAUUGAUGUUUAAUUUCCAAGUUAUGAAAUGUUUACUGAUAAAAAAAUAAGUCCACAUGUGAAUGAACAAAAGAAAGAAAAACUGCCAGUAAAAAUGGCUGCUGAAGUACUGAAAGUUACUUUAGAUGUCGUGUCAAUGAAAUUGGGCUACAAAUUUUGAUUGUGAGAGUUUUUGUAACUGUGGGGUAAUGUGUUUAACAUUUCUAGAACUG